rnacentral:rRNA from 1 species
GACGAACGCUGGCGGCGUGCUUAACACAUGCAAGUCGAACGGAAAGGCCCUGCUUUUGUGGGGUGCUCGAGUGGCGAACGGGUGAGUAACACGUGAGUAACCUGCCCUUGACUUUGGGAUAACUUCAGGAAACUGGGGCUAAUACCGGAUAGGAGCUCCUGCUGCAUGGUGGGGGUUGGAAAGUUUCGGCGGUUGGGGAUGGACUCGCGGCUUAUCAGCUUGUUGGUGGGGUAGUGGCUUACCAAGGCUUUGACGGGUAGCCGGCCUGAGAGGGUGGCCGGCCACCUUGGGACUGCGAUACGGCCCAGACUCCUACGGGAGGCAGCAGUGGGGAGUAUUGCACAAUGGGCGGAAGCCUGAUGCAGCAACGCCGCGUGCGGGAUGACGGCCUUCGGGUUGUAAACCGCUUUCGCCUGUGACGAAGCGUGAGUGACGGUAAUGGGUAAAGAAGCACCGGCUAACUACGUG